CUUUUAUAUAAACAACUCGUGCGCAGCUAAGUAAAUCAUGAAGAUAAUUUUUAAUUUGUUUCUAAUGCUCGUGCUAAGCAUUGUGUUGACGAGUGCGCGACUGUUUUACCGCGGGAGCCACACUCCCGGUAGGUAUAUGUUAAAACAAGCAUCAAGCAUAGAUCACCAUUACCACGGAUAACGUGGAGGAUAACCAAUGAUAUCUUGACAAUAAAUUUGCAGACAUGGAACUGAAAAUCUGAAAAUUAUUUUAACUCUUAAUAAAUAUGUGAUUAACAUAA